rnacentral:tRNA from 1 species
GCCACCCUAGCUCAGCUGGUAGAGCAGCUGAUUCGUAAUCAGCAGGUCGUCGGUUCGAAUCCGACGGGUGGCUCCA